ensembl:lncRNA novel transcript
AGCCUGCCCCUCCUGACGCUCUCAGAGUCUGGCCUUCUGCUGGGCCCCGGGUCUCUCACUGGCAGAAUGGAGUUCUCGGAGCUGAUCCAUACGGGCUGAGCCCAAGCAGAGUUUCUACGGGGCCCGGAGGCGCCCCCGCUUCGCGGCACGGUGUGAGUCACCGUCCACCACCUGCUCCUGUCGCCAGGGCCCGCGUCCUCUCCGGACCUGUGGCUGCUGCUGUUGCGUAGCGUCGACUCCUUCGAGAAGCAGGCCUGAGAUUGGGCGACUCCUGGCACUUCCUCCCGCCCGAACUCUACUGCAAGAGAGUAGCUCGCGAAGUGGGCGCGGUCGUAGGGGCCCGGGAAGGUGGAAGCGCCGGGCCUGGAAGAGGCGCGGGGACAGGGCACUCCCUGGGUGCCCUAGACCUGGCCUCUCUCCUCCCUGCGCUGCAGACCAACGCGUGGCGGCUGAGCGAGGUGAACGAGGACUUCAGCUUGUGCCCCAGAUACCCCCGUGCGGUGAUCGUGCCAUACUUGGUGGACGAUGAUGCCCUGGCGCGCAGCGCCCGCUUCCGUCAGGGAGGUCGCUUCCCGGUGCUCAGCUACCACCCGGCUCCCAGCGGCAGAGGGAGCGCGCCCUCCCCACGCUCCGCCCCUGGGUGGCUGCGUCCUUUCUGGGCCUUUUCUUUUUGGCCCGGUCAAUUCGCGGCGUAGCCGCUGCCCCAACUCCUGCCCCAUUCUGGUCCCGCCCCUCUCCCGCCUUUUCGCUGGGAAGGGUAUCACCUUUCUCUGGCCCCGCCCCUGACGGUUCCGGGCCCCGCGAAGCUUAGUCCCUUCUUUGUCAAGCCAGGACCCGCCCACGGUCUAUUCAUAGGGUCCCAAACCACUUUGGCCACAACACCCCCAGACUGGUCCGAAGCCUCGUGAGUUCGCCCUGGUCGUUGCACUCCAGCCUGUCGCUGUGCAGACCUGGCUUAGAGGACCCCUAAGGCUGAGGGGUCACUUCCAGAACUGAGUCCGGUCCGCAGGUUCUGCUACGCUCCAGCCAGCCCCUAACUGGUCCCCAGAAGCGGCGCUGCUACAGGGACCAGGAGCUGCUGCGAACUGCGCUGGCGGGGGCUCGUCCUUGGGCGCGGGGCUUCAUCAUGGACACGCUCUCGGCCCAGGCCGCGAAACAAGCCCGCGUGACUGGCGGAGGCACAGAGACCAAGGCCGCUUAACCUGGCUGGUUGCACUGGUCCCUGGAGAGAGGGCGUCCCCUGCAGGAGAGCUUCAUGCGCCUGGUGGAGGCCUGUGGGGACUCGGAGCAAAGCAUGGACAACUGGCUGAGUCGGCUGGACGGCUGCCGCUGACUGUAACAUGUAAAGCAGGCACUGAGCACCACCUGCCUGGCAGUCCAGGGCAUGGAGAGGCACAGACAGCACCCUGCUUGUGACUUCACUGGCCCAACUCAUCCUGGACCCCUUGAGCAAGACCAUGGCUGGAUUCCAGGAACUGGUGGAGUGGAAGUGGAUCCAGGAAAAUGCCGUGUGAAGGGAGGACUCAGAUGCACUCCCUGUGGUCUGGGCUCAACCAGCCAAAAGAGCAACAAAGACUCCAGAACCCACUCUACCUCCUCAAUCCCUUGGCCAUCUGUGGAGCCCCAGAGCCUGCGGCUGUGGCAAGGCCUGUUUCUGCGCUGGACCUGCUCACCUGAGCCUGCAGAAGCUGCAUGGGGGAAGAGUGUGGCAAAUAGUGACAGGAAGGGAGAAGACAGAAGCCUCUCAGCCAACUGCUUCAGCCGAGCCCCUAUUCUAAGCACUGGCUCCUUGGAUAGCAGCUGAGAUGUUCCUGAAACCUCUGCAGGCCCCUUAGGACCUUUACACCUUGGAUGAGGGUGCCUGCAACCCAGGUUAGCCAAAAGUACUGAGGGUCUUAAGUUUGAAGUGUCCAAAGUAUAGGGAGGUCUCAAUAAUAAAAGUCUCCAUGAUCAGCA